GGAUUAGUGGCGAACGGGUGAGUAACGCGUGAGUAACCUGCCUUACACAAGGGGAUAGCCUCUGGAAAUGGAGAAUAAUACCCUAUAACAUUACAACUUCGCAUGAAGUAGUAAUCAAAGUGUUAGCGGUGUAAGAUGGACUUGCGUCUGAUUAGCUAGUUGGUGAGAUAACAGCCCACCAAGGCAACGAUCAGUAGCCGGCUUGAGAGAGUGUACGGCCACAUUGGGACUGAGACACGGCCCAGACUCC
rnacentral:rRNA from 1 species